UGCGGAGGGGUCUAGCGUUGUUCGGAAUUACUGGGCGUAAAGCGCACGUAGGCGGCUUUGUAAGUUAGAGGUGAAAGCCCAGGGCUCAACCCUGGAAUUGCCUUUAAGACUGCAUCGCUUGAACAUCGGAGAGGUAAGUGGAAUUCCGAGUGUAGAGGUGAAAUUCGUAGAUAUUCGGAAGAACACCAGUGGCGAAGGCGACUUACUGGACGAUUGUUGACGCUGAGGUGCGAAAGCGUGGGGAGCAAACAGG
rnacentral:rRNA from 1 species